UAAUAUCACAGGUAGGAUGAUUCAUAAUUUAGAACUACUAACUCAUGUAUGUAUUAAAAAUUAAAGAAAUAUAUUAAAUUUUAUAGGAUAUUUAUGUUUAGUAACCAGUAAUUCAGAGAUUGGUAUUCAUGGUUACUAUAACGAGGCUGUAGAAACGCACCCUUUCUUCUUUGCAAAUGGCCCUGUAUUUAUGUCUAAGCCGAAACUGGAACCUCUGAAUAAUUUAGAUUUAUUCUUGUUAUUUUCUAAAAUACUUAUCUACAGUAUACCAUAAGGAAUGAUACCGUAUCGCACCUAAUCAAGUGCCUUAAGAAACAUCAACAGGAUAUCACAGUAAUCCCUUAUCGACUGAUAUUUGUAGCCACUACAAUAUCUAUGACACUGGUAGUAAUUAUAAGAACAAUAAUGAUGUUCUAUAAGAGGAAAUGAUGAUUAGGAACAAAAACUUACAGGAGAUAUCAUGCGGUGGAUGGAUAAUAUGUAAAAAAUAUUAAGCAGUAUAUGAAUUUUCAUAUUGCGUAGAGAUAACAAAAUGAAUUUUAAAAAAUGUCGACACGGUAAUAAGAAAUAGCAUCGUGACAAAGAAUAUAUAAAGACAGUUUCAUUUUUUAUAAAUAAAAAUUUGUUGUUCCAGAUUUUGAAAUACAGUGAAACGUUUAAUUAGUAUCUUAAUAUCUUUAAAUAAUUAUUAUUUUAGAAUCAAUUGUAAUUGUAUCAUACGUACUUUUGAAUUCGUGCAAGAACAUAUGUAAUUUUGAAGUAGUUAUUAUUAGGAAACUGUUAGACGCGAACAGUAUGCGAAAAGUUAGUAUGCAGUGUAAUAAUUAUCAAUCAAAACACAAGAAUUAAAUUCUUGAGGAA